rnacentral:misc_RNA from 1 species
GUGAAUCAUCGAAUCUUUGAACGCAAAUUGCGCCUUUUUCGGAAGGCAUGUCUGUUUGAGGGCACCAUUUAACAAAUAAUGUCCAGCGUUUUGUGUCUAUAUGACUUGCUCACGUUGGUGAGCUUUCCAAGAAUUUUAAAUUUUUGGUGGCGCAUAAUGAACAGGGUGACGGUGUUUUUAAGUUCAAGUGGAGUAAAAUCUUUGCUUGGUUUGUUAAAAGCGUAAUCGCGCAAUGGGAGUGGAAUUUUUUUA